rnacentral:rRNA from 1 species
UACGUAGGUGGCAAGCGUUGUCCGGAAUUACUGGGCGUAAAGGGCGAGUAGGCGGUAAUACAAGUCAGAUGUGAAAGGCGAGGGCUCAACCCUCGGAUUGCAUUUGAAACUGUAUGACUUGAGUGCGGUAGAGGAAAGUGGAAUUCCCAGUGUAGCGGUGAAAUGCGUAGAUAUUGGGAGGAACACCAGUGGCGAAGGCGACUUUCUGGGCCGUAACUGACGCUGAGGCGCGAAAGCGUGGGGAGCGAACAGG